AGCAGCCGCGGUAAUUCCAGCUCCAAUAGCGUAUAUUAAAGUUGUUGCAGUUAAAAAGCUCGUAGUUGAAUUUCGGGGUCAGUAGAUUGGUCGUGCCACUGGUAUGUACUGGUCUCACUGGCUCCUCCUUCCUGAUGAACCGUAAUGCCAUUAAUUUGGUGUUGCGGGGAGACUGGACUGUUACUUUGAAAAAAUUAGAGUGUUUAAAGCAGGCUAACGCUUGAAUACAUUAGCAUGGAAUAAUGAAAUAGGACGUUCGAUCUUAUUUUGUUGGUUUCUAAGAUUGGCGUAAUGAUUAAUAGGGAUAGUUGGGGGCAUUAGUAUUCAAUUGUCAGAGGUGAAAUUCUUGGAUUUAU
rnacentral:rRNA from 1 species